AUUUUAUUUUAUUAUUAUUUUUUUCUGUUUGUGGUCAUUCAGAGAAUCCCUUUUUGGGAUUUGUUUUGAUUAUCAUUUUUUUUAAUGUGUAUGUAAAAUUUGGGUAUAUUGAGGUCAAGCUAUUUGUAUGGAAUUAUUUGACGUUAAGAGCACUGUAUAAAUUUUAUUGUAUUGGAAUCUGUUGAGAUGGAUUCGUAAAAUUUAUGUAAACUUUUUACAAAAAUGUAAUACAUUUGUUAUUUUUUCUCUUGAUUGCCUUGUGAGAUGAACAUAUGUUGAUUACUUGAUUUGAUGGUUGUUAGCUCUUGUGCGAUUUCAGCCUAAAUUUUCUUGGAAGAUUUUAUUUACUAAAUUAAAAUAUUUUAGAAAAAAAAUGAAACACUGAUUUUUCAAUGCUAUUAUAUUUGGUUGAAGAAAUUAGUUAAAUGAUUGAAUUUCUUGGCUUUGAACUUGGUUAGGAGGCUAGGAGCUAUGAUUUUCUGACCAGGAAGGUAGAGCUUGAAAAUUUUUGGUACAUUCAGUUAUUAGUUCAGCUGGAAUUUACACAAUAAACUUUAGAGCUUGUGCUUAGAUAUAACUAAAAGUUUUCUGGUUAUAAUUAGGUUUGGACUUUGGAUUAUCUCAUUGAUGUGUUUGUUUUAGUUCAUUAAUCAAUCUGUAAUGCUUUUUAGGUGGGUUGUGAGCUGGGAAAUAUAAUUUAUGUUUUGUAAUUUUAAAUUAUAUUUUCUGAUUGUUGCAG
rnacentral:misc_RNA from 1 species